rnacentral:rRNA from 1 species
GAUGAACGCUGGCGGCGUGCCUAAUACAUGCAAGUCGAGCGAACAGAUAAGGAGCUUGCUCCUUUGACGUUAGCGGCGGACGGGUGAGUAACACGUGGGUAACCUACCUAUAAGACUGGGAUAACUUCGGGAAACCGGAGCUAAUACCGGAUAACAUUUGGAACCGCAUGGUUCUAAAGUGAAAGAUGGUUUUGCUAUCACUUAUAGAUGGACCCGCGCCGUAUUAGCUAGUUGGUAAGGUAACGGCUUACCAAGGCGACGAUACGUAGCCGACCUGAGAGGGUGAUCGGCCACACUGGAACUGAGACACGGUCCAGACUCCUACGGGAGGCAGCAGUAGGGAAUCUUCCGCAAUGGGCGAAAGCCUGACGGAGCAACGCCGCGUGAGUGAUGAAGGGUUUCGGCUCGUAAAACUCUGUUAUUAGGGAAGAACAAGCGUGUAAGUAACUGUGCACGUCUUGACGGUACCUAAUCAGAAAGCCACGGCUAACUACGUG